rnacentral:rRNA from 1 species
GACGAACGCUGGCGGCGUGCUUAACACAUGCAAGUCGAACGGAAAGGCGCUGCUCUUGUUGGGUGGUCGGGUGGCGAACGGGAGAGUAACACGUGAGUAACCUGACCUUCACUCUGGGAUAACUUCACGAAACUGGGGCGAAUACCGGAUAGGAGCUCCUGCUGCAGGGUGAGGGUUGGUAAGUGUCGGCGGUUGUGGCUGGAGUCGCGGCUUAUGAGCUUGUUGGUGGGGUAGGUGCGUACCAAGGCUUUGAAGGGUAGCCGGCCUGAGAGGGUGACCGGCCACAGUGGGACUGAGAUACGGGCCAGAAUCGUACGGGAGGCAGCAGUGGGGAAUAUUGCACAGUGGGGGGAAGCCUGAUGCGACGGCGCCGCGUGCGGGAUGACCGCCUUCGGGUUGUGAACCGCUUUCGCCUGUGACGAGGCGUGAGUGACGGUAAUGGGUAAAGAAGCACCGGCUAACUACGUG